rnacentral:rRNA from 1 species
AUUGAACGCUGGCGGCAUGCUUUACACAUGCAAGUCGAACGGCAGCGCGGGGGCAACCCUGGCGGCGAGUGGCGAACGGGUGAGUAAUGUAUCGGAACGUAUCCUAUAAUGGGGGAUAACCAGUCGAAAGAUUGGGUAAUACCGCAUACGCACGAGAGUGGAAAGUAGGGGAUCGCAAGACCUUACGUUAUAGGAGCGGCCGAUAUCUGAUUAGCUAGUUGGUGGGGUAAAGGCCUACCAAGGCGACGAUCAGUAGCUGGUCUGAGAGGACGACCAGCCACACUGGGACUGAGACACGGCCCAGACUCCUACGGGAGGCAGCAGUGGGGAAUUUUGGACAAUGGGCGAAAGCCUGAUCCAGCCAUGCCGCGUGCAGGAAGAAGGCCUUCGGGUUGUAAACUGCUUUAGUCUAGGAAAAAGGGGUGCGAGGUUAAUACCCUCGUGCUUUGAUGGUACUGGAAGAAUAAGCACCGGCUAACUACGUG